AUGGUGGAGCAUAAAUUCAUAAUUGAGCAGCUUACAGAAUUUCACAAGAUCAUUGAUGAUCUUGAGAAUAUUAAAGUGGAGAUUGAUGAUGAUGACAAGGCUUUACUAUUGUUGAGUUCAUUGCUCAGAUCCUUUGAGCACUUUAAGGAUGUCCUUUUUUAUAGUAAGGAAUGUACUAUUUCUUUGGAUGAAGUCCAGACGACAGUGAAAUACAAAGAAUUUUUAAAGUUAAGAUUUGAAGAUUGA